UACGUGGGGUGCAAGCGUUAAUCGGAAUUACUGGGCGUAAAGCGUGCGCAGGCGGUUGUGUAAGUCAGAUGUGAAAUCCCCGGGCUCAACCUGGGAAUUGCAUUUGAGACUGCACGGCUAGAGUGUGUCAGAGGGGGGGUAGAAUUCCACGUGUAGCAGUGAAAUGCGUAGAUAUGUGGAGGAAUACCGAUGGCGAAGGCAGCCCCCUGGGAUAACACUGACGCUCAUGCACGAAAGCGUGGGGAGCAAACAGGAUUAGAUACCCUGGUAGUCCACGCCCUAAACGAUGUCUACUAGUUGUCGGGUCUCAAUUGACUUGGUAACGCAGCUAACGCGUGAAGUAGACCGCCUGGGGAGUACGGUCGCAAGAUUAAAACUCAA
rnacentral:rRNA from 1 species